rnacentral:rRNA from 1 species
CGCGCAGGCUGUAGAUCAAGUCAGCUGUGAAAUGUCUGGGCUUAACCCGGGCAUGCGGUUGAAACUGAUGUACUGGAGUGCUGUAGAGGCAAGUGGAAUUCCCAGUGUAGCGGUGAAAUGCGUAGAUAUUGGGAAGAACACCGGUGGCGAAGGCGACUUGCUGGGCAGCAACUGACACUAAAGCGCGAAAGCCAGGGGAGCGAACG